rnacentral:rRNA from 1 species
GACAGAGGGUGCAAACGUUGUUCGGAAUUACUGGGCGUAAAGCGCGUGUAGGCGGCUCUGCAAGUCGGAUGUGAAAGCCCUCGGCUCAACCGAGGAAGUGCACCCGAAACUGCAGAGCUAGAGUCUCGGAGAGGAUCGUGGAAUUCUCGGUGUAGAGGUGAAAUUCGUAGAUAUCGGGAGGAACACCAGUGGCGAAGGCGGCUUCCUGGCCUGUUCUUGACGCUGAGGCGCGAAAGCUAGGGGAGCAAACGGG